UGGUCAAAUAGCUAAAGUAUUAUAUAUAAUUGGGCCCGAUAUAGUUACGGUGUGAGACGAAGACUAUUUUGUUAAGGACAUUCCCGAUUAUGUAAAACAAAAUGUUGUUGUUUUUCACACUUGAAAAGCAUAUAUGUUCGUAAAUUUCGAUUCCAUUCCAAAAAGAUUCUUAAAUUUUCUGUCAAUUUUUUAAAAAAAUUAUCAAAUAUCUGAAGUAUUCGUGCGUUGUG
rnacentral:lncRNA from 1 species